UAACACAUGCAAGUCGAGGGUUUGAUUUAUCAAGCACUGGCAUCCGGGUGAGUAACGCGUAGGUCAUCUGCCCCUAUCACAGACAUAACAGUUCUAACGGACUGCUAAUAUCUGAUGAGGCGAGCAAUCGUCAAAGCUUUGGCGGAUAGGGAUGAGCCUGCGUCUGAUUAGGUAGUUGGUGAGGUAAUGGCUCACCAAGCCUUCGAUCAGUAGCUGGUCUGAGAGGACGAACAGCCACACUGGAACUGAGACACGGUCCAGACUCCUACGGGAGGCAGCAGUGAGGAAUAUUGGUCAAUGGGCGCAAGCCUGAACCAGCGACGCCGCGUGGGGGAUGAAGGGGCUUUGCCUCGUAAACCUCUGUCGGAUGGGACGAAAGGUGGCUUUGAGCCACUGGGACGGUACCAUCAAAGGAAGGAUCGGCUAACUACGUGCCAGCAGCCGCGGUAAUACGUAGGAUCCGAGCGUUGUCCGGAGUUACUGGGUGUAAAGGGUGCGUAGGCUGUUCUGUGCGUCAGAGGUGAAAUCCACGGGCUUAACUCGUGGGGUGCCUUUGAUACGGCAGGGCUUGAGUACGAGAGAGGUGCGUGGAAUUCCUGGUGUAGCAGUGAAAUGCGUAGAUAUCAGGAGGAACACCGGUGGCGAAGGCGGCGCACUGGCUCGUAACUGACGCUGAGGCACGAAAGCGUGGGGAUCAAACAGGAUUAGAUACCCUGGUAGUCCACGCCUUAAACGAUGCAUGCUUGGUGUUGGUCUCGCAAGAGAUCAGUGCCGUAGUUAACAUGAUAAGCAUGCCACCUGGGGAGUACGAUCGCAAGGUUGAAACUCAAAGGAAUUGACGG
rnacentral:rRNA from 1 species